AGCGAACGCUGGCGGCAGGCCUAACACAUGCCAGUCGAACGGAUCCUUCGGGAUUAGUGGCGGACGGGUGAGUAACACGUGGGAACGUGCCCUUUGGUUCGGAACAACUCAGGGAAACUUGAGCUAAUACCGGAUGUGCCCUUCGGGGGAAAGAUUUAUCGCCAUUGGAGCGGCCCGCGUCUGAUUAGCUAGUUGGUGAGGUAACGGCCCACCAAGGCGACGAUCAGUAGCUGGUCUGAGAGGAUGAUCAGCCACACUGGGACUGAGACACGGCCCAGACUCCUACGGGAGGCAGCAGUGGGGAAUCUUGCGCAAUGGGCGAAAGCCUGACGCAGCCAUGCCGCGUGAAUGAUGAAGGUCUUAGGAUUGUAAAAUUCUUUCAGCGGGGACGAUAAUGACGGUACCCGCAGAAGAAGCUCCGGCUAGCUUCGUG
rnacentral:rRNA from 1 species